GAAAAACCCUGGAGCAGCCACGUCGCGUGCAGGAUGACGGCCUUCUGGUUUGUAAACUGCUUUUUUACGGGAAUAAGGUGAGAUUCGUGUGACUUUUUGUCUGUACCGUAUGCAUAAGGACCCCCUAAUUCAAAGCCAGCCCCGCCGUAAUAAAUAA
rnacentral:rRNA from 1 species